UACAUAUCUACAUUAGAAGAGACCAUCCCUCUUUCGUCGAGGCAGUCAUUUACUGCUUUUUUGCUAGUAAAGGGUAUGCCCACCGCCUCUGUCUGGUGCUACAGGUGCUUAUCUCCUGGCAGCAGAGUAACGCCCAGAGGAUUGAAGAAAGCACAUGCCUUUCUAAAACCAUUAAGUGGCAGCUGGACAUUGCUUCAUAUUCCGAAC